GGGCAGGUGGCGGAGCGGUCAAUCGCAGCAGACUGUAAAUCUGCCGCCUCAGGGCUACGGAGGUUCGAAUCCUCCCCUGCCCACCA
rnacentral:tRNA from 1 species